GAUGGUGUGUGUGUGUGAAUGACGAAGGUGGGGAGGAAGAGAUGCUCUUCUAGGAAAUGGUCAGAGAAGAGAGGCUGGAGCCCUCAGUGGAUUAACGGUUAGAGGAAGAAAAUGAGGAAGGACCAGGGAAGGGAUUCAGCCGGUUCGUACCAAUUUGGGCGAACUGGUAGUUGUGACCUGCGGGUGGAUGCCGUCCUACUUAGCUGCAUUUUUUAAGCCGCACACGUGUGUGCAAGAGGACACAAGGUUACCUGGAGCAAGAAACCACAUCAGCUACAGGAAAAGGAAAACAGAAACAAGCGGUGUUUGGCUUACCAUCACAAAGAGCCGAGGCAUUCUUUGCAAAAGUGUGGCUUACACAAUCCCCAAAAGAUCAGGGAGAAACAAAAUAAGUCAGGCCGUCACAGUUUACAAAUCUGGUAGCUUUGUAUAAGAAAAAAAAUUUUAAUCG